rnacentral:rRNA from 2 species
AUUUCCAAAACGGAGGAAAAGAAACCAACAGGGCAUGCCUCAGUAACGGCGAGUGAAGCGGCAAAAGCUCAAAUUUGAAAUCCCCCGGGAAUUGUAAUUUGAAGAGAUUUGGGUCCGGCCGGCAGGGGUUAAGUCCACUGGAAAGUGGCGCCACAGAGGGUGACAGCCCCGUGAACCCCUUUAACGCCCUCAUCCCAGAUCUCCAAGAGUCGAGUUGUUUGGGAAUGCAGCUCUAAGUGGGUGGUAAAUUCCAUCUAAAGCUAAAUACCGGCGAGAGACCGAUAGCGAACAAGUACAGUGAUGGAAAGAUGAAAAGCACUUUGAAAAGAGAGUGAAAAAGUACGUGAAAUUGUUGAAAGGGAAGGGCUUGCAAGCAGACACUUAACUGGGCCAGCAUCGGGGCGGCGGGGAGCAAAACCACCGGGGAAUGUACCUUUCGAGGAUUAUAACCCCGGCCCUUACAUCCCACAGCUCACCCCGAGGCCUGCAAUCUAAGGAUGCUGGCGUAAUGGUUGCAAGUCGCCCGUCUU